rnacentral:rRNA from 1 species
UACGUAGGUGGCAAGCGUUGUCCGGAAUCACUGGGCGUAAAGGGCGCGUAGGCGGCCUGGUAAGUAGGGGGUGAAAUCCUGCGGCUCAACCGCAGGGCUGCCUUCUAAACUGUCAGGCUGGAGCACGGUAGAGGCAGAUGGAAUUCCCGGUGUAGCGGUGGAAUGCGUAGAGAUCGGGAAGAACACCAGUGGCGAAGGCGGUCUGCUGGGCCGUUGCUGACGCUGAGGCGCGACAGCGUGGGGAGCAAACAGA